rnacentral:lncRNA from 1 species
CGGGGCUGUUACAGUUGGUAUCAAAGCCGCAUUCCUCAAACCUGUCCCUUACACAAUAAUACUUAGAGAAAUACCAAACCAAUGAAUCAUUACUCAACCCUUUCUUGUGAAAUGCAGGUACAAAGAGAUGAGAAGAGGAAGACCCCCACUAAACCAAGCAGCUCGAGAUGGUUUGCUUCAGAAAGACGUUGACAAGAUAUU